CAACGCCGCGUGGAGGAUGAAGGCUUUGGAUUGUAAACUCCUUUCGAUCGGAAGAUUAUGACGGUACCGGAAGAAGAAGCCCCGGCUAACUUCGUGC
rnacentral:rRNA from 1 species